rnacentral:rRNA from 1 species
AGUGAACGCUGGCGGUAGGCCUAACACAUGCAAGUCGAACGGCAGCACAGUAAGAGCUUGCUCUUACGGGUGGCGAGUGGCGGACGGGUGAUGAAUACAUCGGAAUCUACUUGUUCGUGGGUGAUAACGUAGGGAAACUUACGCUAAUACCGCAUACGACCUACGGGUGAAAGCAGGGGAUCUUCGGACCUUUCGCGAUUGAAUGAGCCGAUGUCGGAUUAGUUAGUUGGCGGGGUAAAGGCCCACCAAGGCGACGAUCCGUAGCUGGUCUGAGAGGAUGAUCAGCCACACUGGAACUGGGACACGGUCCAGACUCCUACGGGAGGCAGCAGUGGGGAAUAUUGGACAAUGGGCGAAAGCCUGAUCCAGCCAUACCGCGUGGGUGAAGAAGGCCUUCGGGUUGUAAAGCCCUUUUGUUGGGAAAGAAAAGCAGCAGGUUAAUACCCCGCUGUUCUGACGGUACCCAAAGAAUAAGCACCGGCUAACUUCGUG